UUUUGUGACUAAUUUCAUCAUUCUUUUCAUUUACCUUGGAGUCAACAUUUUAUUUUGCUGUUUUCCUUUUAUUUCAUCCUUAGUUGUGAUGCACCUUGUAGAGUCGUUUUAGAUACGAGCUACUAACAAAUCAUUGAUGACGUUUCUGAGAUAUCACUGCUGAUGGUUUAUGGGUCCAUGUGAUGAGUUAAUAAUAUCAACGGUUUAAACUGCCGCGCGUAAUGACAGCUGUUGAGGGCGUCUACAUCCAUUUAUGGCUAAUUAUGGGUGUGGAAAUGAGGGUUGUGCAUGUGCGCCAUGUUCCUCCAUGACUUGAGAUUUAUAAAACAGAAGGAUAUGUACGCACGGUUUACAAAUCUGACCAGAAUAAUGCGUCUGCAUGUUUCUGUCUUUAUGCAUUUGGCCCCCGGAGUGCUGAGUGCAGUCACUGAGGUUACGUUAACUAGCUGUUUGAUGGUCAUUAAAUCAUUCCAAACUGUAUCCUGCCUACUUGUUUAAACCACAGACAUCUCAUUUCAUGUUUCUAAAUACAAAAGAUUGGUGUUAAAAGGAAACUUUGACGGAGCUGACGGCUUAGUAACAAAAGCAAAGUAAAAAUAAUGAAAAGUUUUGUUGAUAAUGCUAAUUUACUUCUACCUAAGCAGAGUAUUUUCACAGUGUGGUAUUAAUAUUUGCUUUGUUAAUUAGUCAAAAGAUCUGUGUACUUCCCUUUUACCACUGCAAAGAGAAAUGAUUAAAAUAAGGCAAACUGGAGGCUGCAUGAGUUAAAUCAUUAAAUCCACCGCUGGUCCUGGGACGUCUCUCCUCCUCGGCUGUUGGUGCCUCAUUUCCAUACUUAAAGAUAAACCAGGCAGAACAACCACACUUGGGGAAUAACAAGUGUGGUUGGCUGGGCAUGGAGGGAAAAACAACUAAUUUGUUUUCUCAGUACAACUGUUCCCCUCUAACAUUUCCCCUGUAAUGUCAAGUGACUGAUCCAAACUGGAUCCAAGGAAGGAAUCCAAGAAUCCAUAUGUGGUUUUCUUACUUUUACUUGUAAGACCAGAAUGGUCGAGGACCUCUGAUCGGAUCUCUGUUCUCCAGAGGUCAGACUCACUGCACCUCAUUAUGCGUUAUUAGUUUUAUCAUUGAAAUAUUGAUUUCCUUUAUAUUUACAAGCCUUCCUCUGAGGAUCUGGCUUUUCCAGUUCUGGAGAUUCAUCUUAACAUACAUGUCCCUCUGUGAUGUGGCAUCAUUGACAUGCUGACAGUUUCUUCACUUGGUUGUGUAGAGAAGAAAUGAACAUCAGCUGCUUUUAUUCUAUUCUCCUCUUCAGAUCCUGCUGUACCUCAUCUGGCCACUAGAUGUGUUCAUCCAGCUUUACUUUCACUGUUAAUCAUCCGAUGCAACAACCUUUCUACACAGAUGCCUCAUUAGCCUCCCAGUACAGCAGGUUACCUUUGUUAUUUGACUCACUGUUUUUCUAAGAGGGAAGUUUAGAUUCUGAGCUGGUGAUUUUCUGUUUGGUGGCAAACUUGUGGAAAUUGUGGAGGGUCAGUAAACGCCACUGGAACAGGUCAGUCAUGUUUUCAUUUAAAUAUGGUGAUUUGUCAUAAAUGAUAGAGCAUGAAGUUGCUGGUGUAUUUGUAACAUGUCUGACAUUAUUUUUGAUGUUUCUCUUCCUCUCCAUUGAGCCCAUGAAGCAUCUUAUGAAGUUAUCAUGUGAUCUUUGGAAGACCUCUUGUAUGAUACUUCGCAGAUCCUCCGACUUCAACCGGUCCACUCAGGAAACCGGCUUUCAUAGAGGCUUCAACAUCCAACACAGAAGACUUUUGUUCUUGGGAAUCAGAUGUAGUCAUUAGAAACUCACUGCUUUAUUGUUUUACUAUCCCACAGUACGGUAUCUACAGACAAAUGGAAAGAAUAAAUAUAAUCUGUUAACAAAAAAACAACAACAAUUCUGUAACAUUUGCAAUGCAUUGUUGAAUUUGAUUUGAGGAAGUCUGCAAGAUGAAUAACAAGACACUUGACAUAUCGUGUUUCUGUCCAAUAGAAUCUUUUGAUAAUGUCCAUAAUCCCAGCAUUUGCUGUGGCAAUCCAGAUGUUAGUGUGUUUAAAAUAUUCCAACUUUUUUAAGGUAGUUAUACUUGUUUUUGUUUUUUUACCAACGCACACACAUAGACAACAGCUGCGAUUCCAGCGUAAUUAUUUUCAUUCUUGCUGGUAUACUUUGUGUGUACUUGGAGGAUUAAAAAGGAUAUUCAUUCAUAUUCAUAUUAUUCCCUGGUUGACCCUGGAAUGUCUUCCUUGUGAGCUUCGACUUUUGCACGACAUAAACAGAAACCAUGUAGCCAUGAUGCACGCGCAAACACGUAGUUGAAAGCAGGUAUAUCAGCUGGCUAAUUUUGACUAGUGUAUUAUCACCUGCACGUUGGCCAAAAAAAUCUCUCCAAUGUCUGUAAUCUGCACAACAGUGUCUUUGUAUAUGGUGACAAUGUGGUGUUUAUAUGUUUAUAUACUGAUGUCAAAAUGUGAGUUUGACCUUUUGAUUUGUUUUCAUCGCUCUCAUUAUCGGUGAUCAGAUGAAGAAGCCAAAUGUGCAGGAGAAUAAACAAUUUGGAUUAUGUA